UACGUAGGGGGCAAGCGUUGUCCGGAUUUAUGGCGUAAAGAGCGUGUAGGCGGCUUGGUAGGUCCGCUGUGAAAACUCGAGGCUCAACCUCGAGAUGUCGGCGGAAACCACUUGGCUAGAGUCCGGAAGAGGAGAGUGGAAUUCCCGGUGUAGCGGUGAAAUGCGCAGAUAUCGGGAAGAACACCUAUGGCGAAGGCAGCACUCUGGGACGUGACUGACGCUGAGACGCGAAAGCGUGGGGAGCAAACAGG
rnacentral:rRNA from 1 species